GGUCUAAUAGUGUAGCGGUUAGCACAUGGGAUUUUGACUGAGAGUUUCCCAUAACCCAGGUUCGAUUCCUGGUUAGACCU